AUAUCAGUCAUGCAUAGCAUAUCAAUAAGCGGAGGAAAAGAAACUAACAAGGAUUCCCUAGUAACGGCGAGUGAAGCGGGAAGAGCUCAAAUUUGAAAUCUUGAAAGGUUUUCCUUUACGAAUUGUAGUUUAAAGAAGUGUUUUCUGUUAAAAUUUAAUGUAAAAGUUCUUUGGAAUAGGACAUCAUAGAGGGUGAGAAUCCCGUAUUUGACUAUAAUUUUUCAACUUUGUGAUACACUUUCAAAGAGUCGGAUUGUUUGGGAAUGCAGUCCAAAAUGGGUGGUAAAUUUCAUCUAAAGCUAAAUAUUGGCGAGAGACCGAUAGCGAACAAGUACCGUGAGGGAAAGAUGAAAAGAACUUUGAAAAGAGAGUUAAAUAGUACGUGAAAUUGUCAAAAGGGAAGCGUUUGACACCAGUGUUGUUUAUCUGAAAAUCAAUUAAGAACUGUUUUAUGCUAGCUGUUGAAGACUUUAUCAGGCUAUCAGUGUUUAGUUUUGAAGCUUUUCUUUGAAUGCACUUUUCAGAUUAACAAGUCAACAUCAAUUUCUUUUGCUGGAUAAAAGCUUAGAGGAAGGUAGCUUAGAACUUCGUCUUAAGUGUUUAUAGCCUCUAUGCCUAUGCAGUCAGGAGAGAUUGAGGAUCUGCAGCAGUAGAUCCUUCGGGGCUAGAUGCAUUUUGUGCUAGAGUUAUAGCAUUUUAUAGACAACUUGUUGACUAUGAUUUAGUCAUUGAUAGCUUACUCGCGUAAUGUUAGUUUUACCUACGCUUAGGAUGUUGACGCAUGAGAUAUACGC
rnacentral:rRNA from 1 species